rnacentral:rRNA from 1 species
AGAGCGAACGCUGGCGGCAUGCUUAACACAUGCAAGUCGCACGGUUGGGGUAACCUGGCAGUGGCGGACGGGUGAGUAACGCGUAGGUAUCUAUCCAUGGGUGGGGGAUAACGGCGGGAAACUGCUGCUAAUACCGCAUGAUGCCUGAGGGCCAAAAGGCGCGAGUCGCCUGUGGAGGAGCCUGCGUCCGAUUAGCUUGUUGGUGGGGUAAUGGCCUACCAAGGCGACGAUCGGUAGCUGGUCUGAGAGGAUGAUCAGCCACACUGGGACUGAGACACGGCCCAGACUCCUACGGAGGCAGCAGUGGGGAAUAUUGGACAAUGGGCGCAAGCCUGAUCCAGCAAUGCCGCGUGGAUGAAGAAGGUCUUCGGAUUGUAAAGUCCUUUCGGCGGGGACGAUGAUGACGGUACCCGCAGAAGAAGCCCCGGCUAAACUUCGACGGCCAAGCAGCCGC